rnacentral:lncRNA from 1 species
UGCCUUUGCUAGGACUGCUGAAUAUGUCUUGAGCUCCAGUACUAACAAGUGUUGCCUGAUCUCUGGACGGAGACCCGACUGGAAUCUCCUGGCCUUUCGGCCCUCAUCCAUCAAUGUCUCCGGGGAGUAUCGGCCCAGCUCGAGGAACUUACAAGCAUACUCUGAUACUGUCAUGUUUCCCUGAACCAGUUGAACAAACUCUGUUUCCUUUAGGUGUC